rnacentral:rRNA from 1 species
UGCGCCUUGCCAGCCCGCCUCAGAAACUCAAAUGAAUUGACGGGGGCCCGCACAAGCGGUGGAGCAUGUGGUUUAAUUCGAUGGUACGCGAGAAACCUUACCAGGUCUUGACAUCCCCCGCGAUGCUUUAGAGAUAAAGCGGAGGUAUUCGGGGAGACAGGUGGUGCAUGGUUGUCGUCAGCUCGUGUCGUGAGAUGUUGGGUUAAGUCCCGCAACGAGCGCAACCCCUAUUGCUAGUUACCAUCAUUAAGUUGGGGACUCUAGCGAGACUGCCAGUGAUAAACUGGAGGAAGGUGGGGAUGACGUCAAAUCAUCAUGGCCCUUACGGCCUGGGCUACACACGUGCUACAAUGGUCGGUACAAAGGGUUGCCAAGCCGCGAGGUGGAGCUAAUCCCAUAAAACCGAUCGUAGUCCGGAUCGCAGUCUGCAACUCGACUGCGUGAAGUCGGAAUCGCUAGUAAUCGUGAAUCAGAAUGUCACGGUGAAUACGUUCCCGGGCCUU